rnacentral:rRNA from 1 species
GAUGAACGCUGGCGGCGUGCCUAAUACAUGCAAGUCGAGCGAACAGACGAGGAGCUUGCUCCUCUGACGUUAGCGGCGGACGGGUGAGUAACACGUGGAUAACCUACCUAUAAGACUGGGAUAACUUCGGGAAACCGGAGCUAAUACCGGAUAAUAUAUUGAACCGCAUGGUUCAAUAGUGAAAGACGGUUUUGCUGUCACUUAUAGAUGGAUCCGCGCCGCAUUAGCUAGUUGGUAAGGUAACGGCUUACCAAGGCGACGAUGCCUAGCCGCCCUGAGAGGGUGAUCGGCCACACUGGAACUGAGACACGGUCCAGACUCCUACGGGAGGCAGCAGUAGGGAAUCUUCCGCAAUGGGCGAAAGCCUGACGGAGCAACGCCGCGUGAGUGAUGAAGGUCUUCGGAUCGUAAAACUCUGUUAUUAGGGAAGAACAAAUGUGUAAGUAACUAUGCACGUCUUGACGGUACCUAAUCAGAAAGCCACGGCUAACUACGUG